AUGCAUCGCUGCAUCCCCACGCGUUGCUGCAUCCCCCGUGCAUCGCUGCAUUCCCACGCAUCACUGCACCCUCGUGCAUUGCUGCCAUCCCCCAUGCAGGGUCACAGCCCCCAUGCAGUGCUGCAGUCCCCAUGCAUUGCUGCAUCCCCCAUGCAGGGUCAUAGUCCCCAUGCAGGGUUGCAGCCCCCACGCAGUGUUGCAUCCCCAUGCAUCACUGCAUCCCCCAUGCAGGGUCUCAGUCCUCAUGCAUCGCUGCAUCCCCCAUGCAGUGCUACCAUCCCCAUGCAUCGCUGCAUCCCCCAUGCAGGGUCGCAGCCCCCAUGCAUUGCUGCAUCCCCAUGCAUUGCUGCAUCCCCCAUGCAGGGUCAUAGUCCCCAUGCAUCGCUGCAUCCCCCAUGCAUCGCUGCAUCCCCAUGCAUCGCUGCAUCCCCCAUGCAGUGCUACCAUCCCCAUGCAUUGCUGCAUCCCCCAUGCAGGGUCAUAGUCCCCAUGCAUCGCUGCAUCCCCCAUGCAGGGUCGCAGUCCCCAUGCAUCGCUGCAUCCCCCAUGCAUUGCUGCCAUCCCCCAUGCAGGGUUGCAGCCCCCAUGCAUUGCUGCCAUCCCCCAUGCAGGGUUGCAGCCCCCAUGCAUUGCUGCCAUCCCCCAUGCAGGGUCAUAGUCCCCAUGCAUUGCUGCAUCCAUCAUGCAGGGCCAUAGUCCCCAUGCAUUGCUGCCACCCCCCAUGCAGGGCUGCGUCCCCCACGCAUUGCUGCAUCCCCCGUGCAGGGUUGCAGUCCCCAUGCAAGGUUGCAGUCUCCAAAUAGGGUUGCAGUCCCCAUGCAUCACUGCAUCCCCCAUGCAGGGUCAUAGUCCCCAUGCAGUGCUGCAACCCCAUGCACCGCUGCACCUCCCAUGCAUCGCUGCCCCCC
rnacentral:lncRNA from 1 species